GGCUGCUCUCUGGCAACACAGCACUUGAAAUUGUUCACCCCCAUUUCCUGACCAUUUGUGUCCACUCAAGUCCUGCGUCAAGUGGCUCUUCACAGCUCAGGUAAAGAUCAGCAUGGUGCCUGCCUCUAAGUAAACGAAUGAGUUGGGCCAUUGUUUUCCUUUGCAGCAGAAUUAUAUUACAAAGCUUGGAAAGCCAAAGAAAAUAUUCUUUGGGAGGUGAAUACAAACCUUAUUGCUUUACAGUACAAGUGUUCUUUUCUCGGAAUAAAUGACUGGCUUCCUGUGAGCCUGGCACUCCCUCUGAAAUCAAACAGGUCUGCAAUGCUCCAGCACGCCAAGUCGUCCAUUUAUAGAUCUUCUCCAGAGAUAAAGGGCUUGCCAUGCUCUCCAGCUGCAGAGCUCAGGAGCCAAAAGGACUUUGGAUGCUUCGUGGGACCAGCUGUACCUACCUGCUUCCAUUGCAGAGCAGGAACUGUGCUGGAUUUGUGCAAUUUGAAGAUGUGAGACAGCAAACAGACACAGACCCAACAGCUGGAUCUACAGACCAGCUUGGUUCUGUUUCUCUUUCAUCAGCAGCACUCUUUUUCCCUCCAAAACAAUGCCACUGCAUCAGAAGCUACCAGUCAGCAUCCUGCUCAGGAGGAAUAAGGUAGAAAUAAUUCACUGACAUGUGCCCAGAUGUUCCCAAAGUCACCCAAUCUGAACAUUCUGCUUUUCAAAGGAUUUCCAUCUUAGUCAUGUUUUGUUGGUGUUUUUUUUUUUCCCCAUCAUAAUUUGGGAGACAGAGUACAUUUCUAAGCCAGUUCCAGACUCUUUUCUUAUCUACCUGAAUUUUCAGCUCACCUUUUGAGCCUGCAAAGGACUUCAAUGUCAUGAGCCCAAGAUAUCAAUGCACUGCACAAGUACACGAUGCAGCCUUCAUAAGGGAGCCCUGGAGACUUAAUUUCUUCUUGUAUUUUGGCCUGCAUAAAAGGACACUGGGCAGGUAGCUCAGUUUGAAUAUGAAGAAAAAAAGAAACGUUGUCCAUUCCCACUCACCCCAUCUCCCAGGACCAUGAUGAGGACUCUAAACUGUCAUCACAAUUACCCAGUCCAGCAGAAAAACAACAUUACACAGUUCACUAAGCCCAUAGUGAUUUUCUAUCAGGAUGUUUUUCUUACCACUGCUAUCCUGUUGUUCUUCAGUAAACCCAAAUGCUGAAAUAUGCCUUGCUGCCUAAAACAUCCUGUACAGCCAUCAAUACCAUCAAUUCUUCUCAAAGUAUGCAGACAAUUGUUGGAAUAUCCCACUACUCUUCUGGAUUUUCUGCUGUGUCAAUGCAGUCCCUCUGUCUGGCUGUGCGUACCUGGAAGAAGGACGCUGCUGAAGCCUGCAGAAGUUGGUGCAUUAAAAAAAGAAGCCACCUCGCUGAGUCGCUCAGCUAAAUUGAGUCUUCGCGAGCGGGAUGCAUACUUGAUGGCUAAACUCACAACAGUCUGUGUCAUGAG